UACGUAGGGACCAAGCGUUGUUCGGAUUUACUGGGCGUAAAGGGCGCGUAGGCGGCGUGGUAAGUCACUUGUGAAAUCUCUGAGCUUAACUCAGAACGGCCAAGUGAUACUGCUGUGCUAGAGUGCAGAAGGGGCAACCGGAAUUCUUGGUGUAGCGGUGAAAUGCGUAGAUAUCAAGAGGAACACCUGAGGUGAAGACGGGUUGCUGGGCUGACACUGACGCUGAGGCGCGAAAGCCAGGGGAGCAAACGGG
rnacentral:rRNA from 1 species